rnacentral:rRNA from 1 species
UACAACUUUCAGCAACGGAUCUCUUGGCUCUCGCAUCGAUGAAGGACGCAGGAAUCGCGAUAAGUAAUGUGAAUUGCAGAUUUUCCGUGAAUCAUCGAAUCUUUGAACGCACCUUGCGCUCCUUGGUAUUCCGAGGAGCAUGCCUGUUUGAGUGUCAUCGAAAA